UACGAAGGGGGCUAGCGUUGCUCGGAUUGACUGGGCGUAAAGGGCGCGUAGGCGGUUUGCAUAGUCAGACGUGAAAUUCCUGGGCUCAACCUGGGGACUGCGCUUGAGACGUGUGGGCUUGAGUGGGGAAGAGGGUCGUGGAAUUCCCAGUGUAGAGGUGAAAUUCGUAGAUAUUGGGAAGAACACCAGUGGCGAAGGCGGCUCACUGGUCCGGUACUGACGCUGAGGUGCGAAAGCGUGGGGAGCAAACAGG
rnacentral:rRNA from 1 species